GAUGAACGCUGGCGGCGUGCCUAAUACAUGCAAGUCGAGCGAACAGACGAGGAGCUUGCUCCUCUGACGUUAGCGGCGGACGGGUGAGUAACACGUGGAUAACCUACCUAUAAGACUGGGAUAACUUCGGGAAACCGGAGCUAAUACCGGAUAAUAUAUUGAACCGCAUGGUUCAAUAGUGAAAGACGGUUUUGCUGUCACUUAUAGAUGGAUCCGCGCCGCAUUAGCUAGUUGGUAAGGUAACGGCUUACCAAGGCGACGAUGCGUAGCCGACCUGAGAGGGUGAUCGGCCACACUGGAACUGAGACACGGUCCAGACUCCUACGGGAGGCAGCAGUAGGGAAUCUUCCGCAAUGGGCGAAAGCCUGACGGAGCAACGCCGCGUGAGUGAUGAAGGUCUUGGGAUCGUAAAACUCUGUUAUUAGGGAAGAACAAAUGUGUAAGUAACUAUGCACGUCUUGACGGUACCUAAUCAGAAAGCCACGGCUAACUACGUG
rnacentral:rRNA from 1 species